CUGUAGGGCUCUGGGUCUUCUCUGUGGAAGCCUGGGAGCAGGGCUAGGGACUGCUGGGCCACGGUGAUCCUGGCGAGGCCUAUGUAGGAAGGCGUGCUGUCAUACAUGUUGUAGUCCAUCACUCCAACCAAAGACAAGUGUGUGGUAUGAGGCUAUAGGCCCACAGCCUGGCCACCCACCUGCAGGGCUUGUACCGGGCAGCUUCUCACCCAAGCAGCUCUGGGAGCGUCUUCAGGUCGAGGGCUGGGUUCCACCAGGCCUUUGCCAGAAGCUCCAACCCUCCCUGUGCACUGCCCCACCAUGCAGUCAUGGGCACCCUGGCAGAAGGAAGACGCCGACCAAGCCUUGGGCUCUGCUUUUUGAGUAGGUGUAUUUUAAAUAGCUUUCCAGAUAACACACAUUUCCCUUAAAAAAAAAAAAAAAAAUGUCUGCUGGAGCAGUUUGUUCCUGGGUCUGCUGGUCACCCUCGUGGUCCCGAGGCCGGCGCUGACUGGGUGCUGGCCCGGCCUCCCAGGGCAUGUGGCGGGCUGGGCCUGGCGACAGUUCUGCUGACUCUCCACAGAUCAUGCAUGGCCGCACGUGGCUCAAACGUCCAUUUAUUUCAAAGCAGUAAUAAUUUAAAAUCAUAAAAACCCUUCUGCCGUUGAACAUUUGGAGGGUGAGGUUAAAGACGGACUGAAGGCGCCUGCCUGCUGGGGACAUGGGACCCACGUGCACACCUCCAAACAGGAGCGGCCAUGGCCAAGUCCGAGCCGCCCGCAGCCUGGGGCCCGCCAGGUGCUGCCGGCCGCCAUGGGCAGCACCUCUAGUCCACGGCCAUGGCAGGCGGUGCUGGGGCACCUGGGGUGGGUGGGAUGACCAAGCCCCGGGGGGAUGGCCAGGUGGGACUCAGGAGUUGCUUGUGGCGUUCUCGUUGCUGGGUGAGCUGGACGAGGAUGAGGACGAGGACGAGGAGAAGCCAACACCGGUCAGGCCUGGAGGAUUGGUGGCUGUGUUCUGUCCAGUGAGGCUCUUGCGGCAGACCGGGCAGCUGUCAUGCUGCUCCAGCCAGGGCACGAUGCAGCUGUCGUGGAACAGGUGGUUGCAGGGUAACUGCCGCACUCUCUCACCCAGCGCGUAGUCUUCUUUGCACACU
rnacentral:lncRNA from 1 species